rnacentral:rRNA from 1 species
GGUGAUAGCCGGUUCUCCGCGAAAUGCAUUUAGGUGCAGCGUCGUGCGUUCAACGAUGGGGGUAGAGCACUGAAUGGGCUAGGGGUCCUACAAGACUACCGACCCCAAUCAAACUCCGAAUACCAUCGUUCCGGAGCACGGCAGUGAGACCUCGGGGGAUGAGCUUCGAGGUCGAGAGGGAAACAGCCCAGACCGCCGGCUAAGGUCCCAAAAUCUGAACUAAGUGGUAAACGAUGUGAGAUUGCGAAGACAGCCAGGAGGUUGGCUUGGAAGCAGCCAUCCUUGAAAGAGUGCGUAACAGCUCACUGGUCGAGUGAUCUUGCGCGGACAAUGUAACGGGGCUCAAGUUCAGUACCGAAGCCGCGGAUGCGACUCUUUGAGUCGUGUGGUAGCGGAGCGUCGAGCGUGCAGCGAAGCGGCGGGACAACCCAGCCGUGGAGCGCGUUCGAGUGCGAAUGUUGGCAUGAGUAGCGAAUGAGGGGUGAGAACCCCCUCCGCCGUAUGUCCAAGGGUUCCUGGGCGAGGCCAAUCCUCCCAGGGUGAGUCGGGAGCUAAGGCGAGGCCGAGAGGCGUAGUCGAUGCACAACUGGUUGAUAUUCCAGUACCACCAUGUUCGCGUCCGUCCCAAUACUCUGUUGCUAAGGGGCUGUGUUGACUUCGGUCAACGCGAACCGACCCACAUUGUUGCGGGAAGCUGUAGGGGGACGCAGGAAGGUAGAUGAACCCGGUGAAUGGUAGAACCGGGGUAAGCGUGUAGGAGGAGGACCAGGUAAAUCCGGGCCUCAUAAACUCUGAGACGUGAUACCGAGCCGCUUCAGGCGAAGUCAUUGAUCCUAUGCUGCCUAGAAAAGCCCAGCAGCGAGUUGACAUGGUGCCCGUACCCCAAACCAACACAGGUGGACAGGUAGAGCAUACCAAGGCGAGUGGGAUAACUAUGGUUAAGGAACUCGGCAAAUUGCCUCCGUAACUUCGGGAGAAGGAGGACCCCAGUAGCGUGAUGAGACUUGCUCUCUGAGCGUGAAGGGGUGGCACAAAAUUGAGGGAAGCGACUGUUUACCAAAAACACAGCAGCGUGCUAAGCCGUAAGGCGCUGUAUACGCUGUGACUCCUGCCCGGUGCUGGAAGGUUACGGGGACGGGUUAGUCCUUCGGGACGAAGCUCUGAACCUAAGCCCCAGUAAACGGCGGCCGUAACUAUAACGGUCCUAAGGUAGCGAAAUUCCUUGUCGGGUAAGUUCCGACCUGCACGAAUGGAGUAACGACUUCCCUACUGUCUCAACCAUAGACCCAGCGAAAUUGAAGUACGAGUAAAGAUGCUCGUUAGCUGCAGAAGGACGGAAAGACCCCGUGGACCUUUACUAUAACUUGAUGUUGUGUUUUGU